CAGCAGCCACGGUAAUACGAAGGGUGCAAGCGUUAAUCGGAAUUACCGGGCGUAAAGCGUGCGUAGGCGGUUCGUUAAGUCUGUUGUGAAAUCCCCGGGCUCAACCUGGGAAUGGCAGUGGAUACUGGACGGCUAGAGUGUGUCAGAGGAUGGUGGAAUUCCACGUGUAGCAGUGAAAUGCGUAGAGAUGUGGAGGAAUACCGAUGGCGAAGGCAGCCCCCUGGGCCAAUACUGACGCUCAUGCACGAAAGCGUGGGGAGCAAACAGGAUUAGAUACCCGGGUAGUCCCUGUCUCUUAUAC
rnacentral:rRNA from 1 species